GAUGAUGACAGUGACUAAACUCGAUGCAUAAAAAGCUUGGGCCACCAAAUGAAAAUGCCGACAAGGUAAAGCUCAAAAGAAACAAACCUGACUACAUUUCAAAGCAUGAUUCACCGGCCUAAGAUAUCUCCAACCGACUUCUUAAUGAUCUGGAAAAGCUC